rnacentral:rRNA from 1 species
CCCGCACAAGCGGUGGAGCAUGUGGUUUAAUUCGAUGCAACGCGAAGAACCUUACCUGGGCUUGACAUCCCGGGAAUCCCCUGGAAACAGGGGAGUGCCCUUCGGGGAACCCGGUGACAGGUGCUGCAUGGCUGUCGUCAGCUCGUGUCGUGAGAUGUUGGGUUAAGUCCCGCAACGAGCGCAACCCUUGUCUUUAAUUGCCAUCAUUUAGUUGGGCACUUUAAAGAGACUGCCGGUGUUAAGCCGGAGGAAGGUGGGAUGACGUCAAGUCCUCAUGGCCUUUAUGCCCAGGGCUACACACGUGCUACAAUGGGCGAGACAGAGCGACGCGAAGCCGCGAGGUGGAGCAAAUCGCAGAAAAUCGCCCUCAGUUCGGAUUGGAGUCUGAAACCCGACUCCAUGAAGGUGGAAUCGCUAGUAAUCGCGCAUCAGCAUGGCGCGGUGAAUACGUUCCCGGGCCUU